AGCACUGGACUGACGCUCAUGCACGAAAGCGUGGGUAUCGAACAGGAUUAGAUACCCUGGUAGUCCACGCGGUAAACGAUGAUAACUAGUUAUCCGGGGCGAUUGGGCCUUGGGUGACCGAGCGAAAGCGUUAAGUUAUCCACCUGGGGAGUACGCCGGCAACGGUGAAACUCAAAGGAAUUGACGGGGGCCCGCACAAGCGGAGGAACAUGUGGUUUAAUUCGAUGAUACGUGAGGAACCUUACCCGGGCUCAAACGCAUGGCGACAGACCCUGAAAGGGGUUCUUCUUCGGACGUCAUGCGAGGUGCUGCAUGGUUGUCGUCAGCUCGUGCCGUGAGGUGUCGGCUUAAGUGCCAUAACGAGCGCAACCCCCAUCUUCAGUUGCCCCCGGGUCAAGCCGGGCACUCUGGAGAGACUGCCGGCGCAAGCUGUGAGGAAGGCGGGGAUGACGUCAAAUCAGCACGGCCCUUACGUCCGGGGCGACACACGUGUUACAAUGGCGGGGCUACAGCGGGGAGCCAGGCGGCGACGCCGAGCUGAUCCCGAAAACCCGUCUCAGUUCGGAUCGGAGUCUGCAACCCGACUCCGUGAAGCUGGAUU
rnacentral:rRNA from 1 species